UACAGAGGUCUCAAGCGUUGUUCGGAUUCAUUGGGCGUAAAGGGUGCGUAGGCGGCGGGGUAAGUCGGGUGUGAAAUCUCAGAGCUCAACUCUGAAAUGGCACUUGAUACUGCUCUGCUAGAGGACUGGAGAGGAGAUUGGAAUUCACGGUGUAGCAGUGAAAUGCGUAGAUAUCGUGAGGAAGACCGGUGGCGAAGGCGGAUCUCUGGACAGUUACUGACGCUGAGGCACGAAGGCCAGGGGAGCAAACGGG
rnacentral:rRNA from 1 species